rnacentral:rRNA from 1 species
CGUGUAGGCGGCUGAUCAAGUCGGGUGUGAAAGCCCGGGGCUUACCCCCGGAAGUGCGCUCGAAACUGGUCAGCUAGAGUAUGGGAGAGGGAAGUGGAAUUCCUGGUGUAGCGGUGAAAUGCGUAGAUAUCAGGAGGAACACCGGCGGCGAAGGCGGCUUCCUGGACCAAUACUGACGCUGAGACGCGAAAGCGUGGGGAGCAAACAGGAUUAGAUACCCUGGUAGUCC